rnacentral:tRNA from 1 species
GCUCGGAUUCGAAGACGGCGUACCGCAUUUCGCGCGGUUGACGGCCGAGCCCGCCAGCGGGCGAUCGUUCGAGAUGAUCGCCGCGCUCCA